rnacentral:rRNA from 1 species
CUUAGUUGCCAUCAUUAAGUUGGGCACUCUAAGUUGACUGCCGGUGACAAACCGGAGGAAGGUGGGGAUGACGUCAAAUCAUCAUGCCCCUUAUGAUUUGGGCUACACACGUGCUACAAUGGACAAUACAAAGGGCAGCGAAACCGCGAGGUCAAGCAAAUCCCAUAAAGUUGUUCUCAGUUCGGAUUGUAGUCUGCAACUCGACUAUAUGAAGCUGGAAUCGCUAGUAAUCGUAGAUCAGCAUGCUACGGUGAAUACGUUCCCGGGUCUUGUACACACCGCCCGUCACACCACGAGAGUUUGUAACACCCGAAGCCGGUGGAGUAACCAUUUGGAGCUAGCCGUCGAAGGUGGGACAAAUGAUUGGGGUGAAGUCGUAACAAGGUAGCCGUAUCGGAAGGUGCGGCUGGAUCACCUCCUUUCUAAGGA